AUUCUUUCGUUUUCUUUUCUCUUUCUUUUUCUUUUUUUCCCUCCCUUCCCUUUCUUCUUCCUCGAGUAGACACCCCCCAGUCUUCUGUUCUUCAGUGCCGCCUGAAACCCUAACUCCCCGCCACCACAAACUCCCAGCCGUGCUGCUCACUUUCGGGACCCUAGUCAUCCGCUUGCCCUCACGUUGUUCGCCGACCCUCACGCCCGUGGACCUACUAAAACCCUCGCCGUUUCGCCCAACCGGAACCCACAGUCACCACUCGCGCUCCGCCCCGCCGCGCCGCUCGUAGUUCGCCCAUCGAAGCCACAUAGGAUCAGUGACCUGUAUCCUCCAGUCGCGCCGUUUGUCCAACCCAGCCGCGCGUCAGAUUGGCCGUUCAUGGGUUCCGUGCCAUUGCCCAGAUUUGUCCAAUCAUCCACUGCUGUUUCUCCGCCCGGCCAGCCACGCUGAUCCAUCACCGCCCAGCCCCUGCCGCCGUCAAUUGUUGUUGGUUCUAUGGUUUGAUUUGGAGUUUUGGAGGAGAAUUUGUGUGCUAUCUAACGAGUGUUGAAGUUCCUUCUUCGUGACGUUUUGGUAAGGAUAGAGGUAACUGACAAGAGGAAUCCUUGAUUGAGCCACCAAGGACUAGUUUACAUGCUUCACUCAUAUUUUAAUAUUUCUAUUAUGUUUUGCAUUUUCAGUUUUAAGAUUCGAGACUACCGUUUCAGUUCUGUUUUCAGACUUAUUUGUUUCUUUUCAUGAUUUAUGGGUACCUUAUCCUUUGGCUUUAAGUAUUUGAAUUUAAUGCAAAUAUUUUUA